ensembl:lncRNA
AGAAGAAGCCAUUGAUUGGCUAGGCCAUCAGAAGCUAGAUAGAAGGCAUCUGCCAUUUAACUGUAUUAGGGCAAACUUUGUGAGGGAAUAAACCAAUCACAUUGUGACUUCUAAAGGGUGGGACCGAUUUUACAAAAACAAAUGGAAACUUCUGCCUUCUCAAAGGCCAACAGGUCACUGUGCAAUUGCAAGCUGUAGUUUUCCCACAGACUAGUAAGCCAUCUUUUGUUAUAGGCUAGUUUGCAGUGGCUGCAGCAGGUGUUAUUGAAGAGGAUGUUGUUUGUAAUUUGUUAGCUUCUCCCUUUUCAAGAAUAACUUUCAACAAGAAGUUCAUUUUCAAAUUAUCGUCAUCUGGGACCUACUGGCUUAUGUCCGAAGGAAUGGACUGCUUAUCCUUUAACAUCAUGCUGUGUUUGACUGCUGUCUUUCCAUCGGCCCUAUGCAGUGGUGUUGUGGUGCCUGGAGAAGUGGGUAUACUCAAAUUUUGGCCAAGAUUUCUCAAAUGGCCUACCCAGUGAAGGAAAGGCUCCUUAUGUGAAAAGUUUUCCUAUAUAUUUAAACACUCAAUCACACUUAGAACAUAACAUUUGUUGUUUUUCUAUUUAAAAAAAAAACUAAGUCCACAACAAUGCUUAAACCAAAUAAGGAGACCAUUUUGGAGAAGUGAGGAGUAUUUUUGUAAUAAUAAUGUAUUCUUUAUUUGUUUUUGCUCAAUCUGAUUUAGUGGGCCUGGCUCACUAGUGUGUGGGCAUGUGUCCAGGCCCACUCAUGCCCACGCCCCUGAUGCAAACAGUACACGAUGACUGACCUGCGCAUCACAAAAAGCCUUUGGACCAAACUCAUUCAAUACAUGGUUUGCAUACCCAUUGUUGCCUUAGUUAGCGUUUUCUAUCUACCCUACCGAUGACAUUCCUCUGUGCGCUCCAUGCCAAACGCAUGUGACUUUAUUUCACGUACUUUGUGAUUGUGUAGGUUAAUUUGUGCAUGAUGGUACUACAUAGAUUGUACUACAUAAUUGAUAAGUCAUAUACCUACACUACUCUAAUAUGCAUCAGUGGGGAUUAAGAAGUGAGUAUAAGCAAUGCUCACUGGAAAAAAAGGUGGUUAUAUGAUAUAUACAGUUGAAGUUUACAUACACG